CGGUGCGGGGGGAGGGGGCGCGGGACAGGAUGGUCCCCCAGGGCCCAGUCCUCUCUCCCCCCACCAGCAGGGAGCCAGGAAGACUCCAUCCUCGGAGACCCUGCUGGCCUCGCUCAGCCGCUCACACAGCCCUGCCUGCCCCGUGGGGUCUCAGAGGACUCCAGAACAAUCCCAGAUGUGGCGUGUGGUGGCAAGAAGACCCAUGGUGACGAGAUCUAUCUUUCCAAAGAAAAGAGACUCAUCAUCCAAAGAGUCACGUGGCCUGCGGUGUGUGAUGCAUUGAAAGCCACCCCUGUUGGCGAAGGGCCCGCUGUUCUUUGUUUCAUAAUAAGGGACCCUUUCCACGAAAGAUCUGCUAAGUCUGCAAAUGUCCCAGUGCGAGUCCCGGUGCUCAAAACAAGGUGUCAAGGAGUGGAAUCGUGGGGUCCUAUGGAAACUCUACAGCUCAGCUUCAACGAACUGCCAGACUCUUCCAAGCCAACUGCGCCAUCUUACAUUCCCGCCAGCCACAUACGAGCGUUCCUGUUUUUCGACACUUUUGUCAAUGCUCAUUACUGUCUGUCCUUUCCCGUAGCCACCCCGGUGGCUGAGGAGUCUCACUGUGGCUUCAGUUUGAACUUCACUCAUGAUUACUGAGGUUGAGAAGCGUUUCAUGUGUGAUCUCUUUUUUGAAAAUCACUGUAGCUCUCGGUGGAGACAGCCCUGAAGAAAGGCCAUCGUGGACCGAAGAGCCAGGUUGGGGGGACGCGUGCGCUGGAGUGGCCGAGGAAGACAAGUGCAGCCUGUGACAUGUCUUGGAGGAAAGAGUGAUCAGAGACAACUCUCAAGCUUCUGGGGUGCAUGUGGACCACAGGUCAGAAAGAGAGCCUCCGUUUUCCGGAUUCCAUGAAGCUGACUUUGCGGCCCUGAGUCCUUCACUUCACUUACUUAAAUCACUUAUUCUUGACUCAUAACUCAGAGCGCUGCUGUGGGCACUUGGAAGAGUUCACAGCUGUCAGGCAUUUGAAGUGCUCUCAGAACAAAUGGAUAUAUUCGAUACCGAUCAGAAUUAGCCAGAGUUGGGUUCCGUGUAAAAGAGCUUCUCCUAAUAAUUUGAACGAACUGCAGUGGGUUGUGCCACCCCAGCAGCUGGGAAGGCACAUUGACUGAAUGGCAAGCUGCUGGUGUGUUUUAAAUCAGCUUCCCUUGAAGCAAGUCAGGAUAGACUUGAUGAAGGGUGAGGUCCACUAUGACCCCAAGCUCUGGACUCUUUUAGACUCUAGUUUCACCAUGUGUAGAGUGAGAGUUGAGACCAGAUCAUGUGGGAAGGCAUGCAGAUGCUUUCACACAGGUGCUCUUUCUGGGUCUGGAGGCACUGGGCACCUAGUACAGUUCAGGGUGGUGUGGGGAUUACAGAAAAGAUUAACAAUAACAAGAGCUGACAUUGUUUGAGUGCCACUUAGUAAGUACCAUACGCUAUACUAAGAGCUUUACGUACCUUAGCUCUUUUUAAAAAUAUUUUUUAACAUUUGUUUAUUAUUGAGAGAGAGAG